rnacentral:rRNA from 1 species
GGGUCAGUAGGUUGGUCGUGCCACCGGUACGUACUGGUCUCACUGAUUCCUCCUUCCUGAAGAACCGUGAUGCCAUUAAUUUGGUGUUGCGGGGAAACAGGACUGUUACUUUGAAAAAAUUAGAGUGUUUAAAGCAGGCUAACGCUUGAAUACAUUAGCAUGGAAUAAUGAAAUAGGACGAUCGAUCCUAUUUUGUUGGUUUCUAGGAUUGACGUA